GUUCUCACUUCAGCAGCACAUAAUACUAAAAUUGGAACGGAGAAGAUUAGCAUGGCCCCUGCACAAGGAUGACAUGCAAAUUUGUGAAGCGUUCCAUAUUUUU